UGUAAAUGCAGCUGAUGAUCAUGGGAUCUGUUUCUAGUGGCGAGGUAGAAUUUUGGUGUGCGCCUGAAUUUCGGUAGUACGUAGAGGUGGUGUUGGUAGCUUUUGGCCUGGGGCUAUCUGUAGUGUUCAACGUUAUUCUGCACCUUUUGUUUAAUUUUAGACCUGCUAUGGUACUGUAAUUACAUGAGAUUGUGGUGUCACGUAUCUCAGAUAAUAUAAGAUUGCUUACUGUUGAUGAAAACAUGAAAUAGCUUAAAUGUAGGCGAUAUGUAGAACUGACAGGAUUUUACUAGAGAUAUAACAUUUUGUAGUCGGCAUCGAUUGCAGUACCCGGUUCAUCAUCGCACGUCAAAGGACAAUGAAAUUAAAUACAGAUACAGAUGCGAAAAGUGGUACUCCUAUAGGUGAGGAUGGCAAAAAAAUCCAUGAAGACAGUCUUUGACCGUCCAUUAAAAAAUCUAUGGGUAAAAAAUUAUCAACAUGCUUAAACCCGCUGGAUAUUCAUACCCACCGGAUAUUUUUUGAGUCCUACCCACCGGAUAUUUAUUGGGUCCUCUCGAGAUAUAAAUAAGACCUAAAAUUAUGUUAACAUAAGCUCUUUCGUUCUUCACCUUGUUGUAGGCUAGACUUUAUUUAUAAAAGUUGGAUUUCAUUUAUAAAAGUUCUGACGGAGAUGACAGUAAUCCAAAGACGAUAUCGAGCAAGCUCCUGUAUGGUGGUGGCGUCGAGGGCAUCAGGUCCGGCCUUGUGCGCGAGCAGCUUGACCCCCUGCACAAGUCACAGUAGUCUAGAGAUUGGGAUGGCGGCUGCCACCGAGCUUGUGCUGCUGCAAGAAAACACUUCCAGCUGUAGGUUUUUCAAGCAAGAUCUAAAGCCAUGAAAGCAAGCUGCUAAAUAAUUACAUUAUUUGCUAAGAUAAAAGCUUAUAAAAAAAGGGCUUACAAUUAAGCAGCAGCAGGAACCAGUACCACGAAUAUGUUUUGAUUAGUACAGAGUGAGCAGAAUAUGUAAAUUCUUUUAUGUUGGAGACGUGUCAACUGCUGAGCACGUCGCGGUCGCCGCUGGCACACCUCAACACCAUGCCGCCAAGUAUCACCAGCCAAUACAGCUUGAAGUUUUUGGAAGAUCUGUCGUGCGUAGCAUCUGUUGAUCAGGCAUGACAAAGAGUAGCACCUGUCGGUCAGGCAUGAUUUGACAUCUCCACUGAAGCUCCAUUCAAGACGAAGCCGCUGCACCUCCUACCUCUGACUUCCAGCGCUGCUCCACAAACGAUGUCCCAUAGAGAUAAACGGCACCGCAAUGCCGCCAUCGUCCGAUAUGGAAAAUCAGAUCCUAGGGUUUCCUCCGGGGCAGCACGAGUGGGUCGACAGUCGACAGUAGUUACAGAACGAUGCCUUCAUCAAGGUAACGCCGCAGAACGCCGCCAUCGUCUGUCGUCGGCUCAGUUUUUACCGGCAACUAUGUCUCUCUGACUCCCAGCCGAAAGUAGAUUACAUAUCUCGAGAUCCGAUCACCCAGCCUUAGACGGACCACCUCCAACAUAGGAGAUGACCACCAUCGCAAUAAUCCUCGUGCACUACUAGGGAAAACCUUAUACACAACGUUUUAGCAGUAGCGCUGGACAAAACAAGGCGCUACUGCUACUUAGUAGUAGCGUUUUUAAAUAGACCGCGCUACUGCUACUACUUUAGCAGUAGCGCGUUCCGCGAAACCGUGUUGCUUCUAUAUUUGUAGUGGGAGUAGAUGGCUAGCUUCACUUAGCAGUAGCGCGUACCACUGACCAGCGUUACUGCUACGGCCCGUAGCAGUAGCGCGUUAGUCUGAAACGCGUUACUACUUACUUACCUUAUCCUGGAGCGGUUCACCCUCUCACACUCACUCCCUCUCACUCGCUCUCGCCCACGCCGAACCCGUACGUCGUCCGCCGCCGCCGCGCUACUCCUCGCCGAGGUACUCCCUCCUCCCCUCCCUCCUCCGGCCGCCCUCCUCCCACCGCCUCUCUCCCUCAUCCUCCUUCGNNNNNNNNNNNNNNNNNNNNNNNNNNNNNNNNNNNNNNNNNNNNNNNNNNNNNNNNNNNNNNNNNNNNNNNNNNNNNNNNNNNNNNNNNNNNNNNNNNNNNNNNNNNNNNNNNNNNNNNNNNNNNNNNNNNNNNNNNNNNNNNNNNNNNNNNNNNNNNNNNNNNNNNNNNNNNNNNNNNNNNNNNNNNNNNNNNNNNNNNNNNNNNNNNNNNNNNNNNNNNNNNNNNNNNNNNNNNNNNNNNNNNNNNNNNNNNNNNNNNNNNNNNNNNNNNNNNNNNNNNNNNNNNNNNNNNNNNNNNNNNNNNNNNNNNNNNNNNNNNNNNNNNNNNNCCCUCAUCCGAUCCCACCGGCCUCCUCCCCCUCCUCCUCUCUCCUUCCUCCUCCCUCCAUCUCUUUUUUCUGUUUUUCACUGUAGUUUUUUACUAUUGUAUAAUGUAGUUUCUUUUACUGUUUUUAGUAAGUGUUUAAAAUAAUUAGUAAGUAAAGUAAUAAACUAGUUGAACUAGUUUAUUUUUAGUAAGAACUAGUUGAAUUAAUAGAACUAAUGUAUUUUUAGUAAGAAAAUUAAUAUAACUAGUUGAACUAGUUUAUUUUUAGAAAGAACUACUUUAUUUCUAUUUAUAGUAAGUUUAUAUUUAGUAAGAACUAGUUGAAUUAAUAGAACUAGUUGAACAUGUCACAUUUGUUGUUAUUUUUUAGUUUAAGCAAUUAUUCCCGCAUCGAUGUCGACGAUGCCUAUCCCGCAUCCUCGUUGUCGAUACCCGUCGUUCACUAGGGUUUUAGUUGUAUUAGUGAUGUUAUAUGUAUGAUACUAUUCGGAAUGUAUUAGUGAUAACUUAUAGGAUUUUUGUUUUUGCAAAAAUCAAGGAGCCCCUCCAUCAUCCCCGCCGUCGUCCCCGUCACCGACCCCCUCCGACCUCGAGGUGAGACCAGCCAAAUCUCCAUGUCAAUAUGAGUCCUAUAAGAUAUGAUGUAGAUAAAAACAUGUAUAUCUUGUGUUGCUCAAAUAGGAUAUGUGGUUGCGCAAGUUGCCGGUCAUGUUCAGGUUACACCUUCGAGUGGCCUAUGUUUUGCCGGAGUGUUGAUUAAUUUCCGUUCCGGCAAAUUUCAGGCGAUCGAUAUGUCCUGUUUUAGCAAAGGUCAUGCCGGAAUUUUCCGUGAAUUUUGACAUGACUUGUGCUAGAAUAUGUAGGAAAUAUCGAGUGGCCUGGAUUUUCUAAAAAGAUAAUUAAACGAUAUUUCGGGUUGACUUUAAGUCUGUCGAGGCCGAAGAAUCCCGACUGUUGUCGUGGGGUGUAGUGCACUCGGGGACAAGAAAAGACUCGACAGAUCGAUGGUCAACCCGUGAUGAAUAAUAAUGAUCUAAUUUAGGUUUUUUUAGUACAUAUAUUUAAUUGUACAAGUUUAAUAUUUGAAUUAUGAACAUAGAAAAUAUCGUACUCGGGCGACGAAAGUCUCCCGGGGGAGUGCGACUGGUGCCAUGACGACCGGGGUUCCUACGACAGGCCUCACCUGGACGAAGGUCGGCGCUUCAGCAUUAAGCUCGAGGAGGCCUUCGAUUGUGCACUACUAGGAAAAGGGCUAUAGAUAGGAUUGAUUCUAAUGGCGCACCGUGGAAGCAGUGCGCCACUACUAUAUACUAAUGGCGCACCUGUUUGUGAUACGCCAUUAGUGUGGAAGACACUAAUGGCGCACCGUAAACAGGGUGCGGCACUAGUAUGAAUUAUUAUUAUUUUCAUUUUCCCAUACAUACUAAUGGCGCAUCGGGUCCAUAAUGCGCCAUUACUAUCUAUAACUACUAAUGGCGCACCAAGCAGGCAGUGCGCCAUUACUGUAAAUUUUGUUUUAUUCUUUUUUUUGCAAAACUACUAAUGGCGCAUCGUGGCACAGUGCGCCAUUACUAGUUUAAACUAGUAAUGGCGCACUCAGAGGAGAUGCGCCAUUAGUAUAUAUAUACUUAUUAUUUUUACUUUUUUUGCAAAACUACUAAUGGCGCAUUUUCCUACGGCGUGCCAUUAGUAACCUGGGACCAACAAGAUAUUUUGGACAGCCCACACCUACCCACUCACUUUCCCCACUUCAUUCCAUCCACCUCCUUCUCCAAGCUUUCGGCCAUCUCCUCCUCCUCACCUCAUUUCCACCAUAGAUUCAACAAAAUUAAGUGGUGAAAUUACCUUUUUUUGAUAGGUAAGUAAGGGAAAGCUAUCUUCAUGAUAUAGAUCUACUUUUUUUUCUCCCUAGCUCGCUCCAACAACGUGCACAUGCACUUUUUGUGGCCUAGCUAGAUCUAUGUAUGUUUGUGGUGUUGCAUGUAUUUGUGGUGUUGCAUAUAUGUUUGUGUUUGAAGGUACCGGUAUUUGAAAUAUGCGAUAGUUGCCAAUAUUUUGCCGGAAUGUUUUGAUUCAUUUCCGUUUCGGCGAGAAUUUUGGCACUAUGCAUUCUUUUUGGUCCUAUUUUUAGGGAAGGUCAUGCCAAAUUUGUUCUUGGUUCUAACAUAUCGUUUUGCUCUACCCCGCAGGCGACCAUGGUCCGCACGAUGACUGAAGGCAUCGUGAAUAGGUUUUUGAGCUCCGCGAAGGCCGAGAUGCUUUAAAAGAACGAGACGGAGAUAAGAUGUCCAUGUCGAAGAUGCAAGCUGAAGAGCCUUAUUGCGGACCCGGAUUCCGGGCAGGUGCGGGACCACCUGCUCUUGCGUGGUUUCAUGGAUGGCUAUCGGUGGCAAGGUGAUGAAGAUGACUAUCAAGUCGUCCAUGGCCGGGGCCGGGCAAGAAAUGAGGAAGGGCAACAAGACAAGUACCACCGCGGCGAGGGCGGGCGAGAAGACGAAGAAUCUCCAGGACAUGAUCACGACGGUGAUGCUGUACACAGUCAUCAUGUAGAAGAUGUCGUACAUGAUGAUGAGGAAGAUCAAGACGAAGGGAAUGAUCAUGAAGAUGAAGAUGCCGGAGCAGACGACGAUGGAGGCUGGGUGCAGGACCCUCAUAUUCAAGAGCUGCUUCUCAAGCGGACGGAUAACGCAAGAGCUGCCGCCCGAGAGAAAGCCAAGCUGGAUCAACUGGAGAUAGACGCGGUUACUCCAUUGUAUGAAGGAUGCAGGCCCGAGGAUACCCGCCUGAAAGUAACGCUCAUGGCUCUGGAGAUGAAGGUAAAACACAAAAUGACUGACGCAUGCUUCGACGAGAACAUGUCAUUCUGGCACGAACGUCUUCCCAAGGGGAACAAGUGCCCGACCAGUUUCGAGGAGGCGAAGAAAAUCGUGUGUCCUCUGGAUUUACCGCACGUGAAAUACCAUGUGUGCAUGAACAAUUGCAUCAUUUAUCGGGACGAGCACGCGGAGUCUACCAUAUGUCCGGUGUGCGGCGUCACUCGAUACAAGAAGAGAAAGAAAGCUCCUUGAAAAUCGGUGUGGUACUUUCCGAUCACUCCUCGUCUGCAGCGGUAUUUCGCGGACCCUAAGGUAGCAAAGCUCCUGCGUUGGCACGCGGAUAGGGAGGAGAAGAAGCGAGAAGAUGACGCAAAUGAUCCGGAGAUAGAUAAAAAAGACAAGAUGCUGAGUCACCCUAAGGAUGCGAGUCAGUGGCAAGCGUUGAACUUCGAAUACCCAGAAUUUGGGAACGAUCCAAGGAACAUCGUGCUGGGCGCGAGCACCGAUGGAGUCAAUCCGUUUGGCAGCCAGAGAAGCACACAUAGCACCUGGCCUGUGUUUGUGUGGAUGUACAACCUUCCCCCCUGGUUGUGCAUGAAGAGGAAGUACAUUCACAUGAGUAUGCUAAUUGAAGGGCCGAAACAAUCAGGGAACGACAUCAAUCUGUAUCUGGGGCUGCUGAAAGAGGAGCUUGACACGCUGUGGAAAACGCCAGCCAAUACGUGGGACGCCGCAGAGAAAGAAUAUUUCCCUAUGAGAGCCGCACUGCUCACGACGGUGCACGACUAUCUCGGUUACGGAUAUCUCGCGGGGCAGGUAGUCCACGGAUUUUCUGGAUGCGUAAGGUGCAUGGAUGACACAACGUAUCGCCAGCUAGAUAGAGAUCCCGGGUCUUCGAAAACCGUGUUCAUGGGACAUCGAAGGUGGCUUCGCGACGAUGACCCGUGGAGGAAACGCAAGGAUCUGUUCGAUGGUGAAACCGAACCCCGAAAAUGCCCGUGUACGAGGAGCAGCGAGGAAAUAGACAAGCUGUUGAAAAAUUGGAAAGACUGCCCACUGCCGGGAAAGAAGCGAAAGGCGCCAGAGCCGCUGCUGAAGGUAUGGAAAACGAGGUAUGUUUUCUGGGACUUGCCGUACUGGAAGAUCCACCGUGUGCCUCACAGCCUUGAUGUCAUGCAUAUCACGAAGAACGUGUGCGAGAGUCUGCUUGGUACCCUGCUCAACAUGCUAGAGAGGACCAAAGAUGGGCCGAAAGCAAGGGCAUACUUGAAAUCAAUGGGCAUCAGGCAGGAGCUUCACGCUAAUGAUGAUGAUGAUGAUGAUGAGGCGAAGCAGGACACGGAAAGUCGUCGCAAAGGCAAAAAGGCCAAGAAGACCGCAAAUGACUACCCUCCCGCGUGCUUCACUCUAAGUCAGGAGGAGAUCGAGCAGUUUUUCACCUGCCUCCUAGGAGUAAAACUUCCUUACGGUUACGCGGGGAAGAUAAUCAGAUACCUAGACCCAGCGAAGUAGAAGUUCAGCGGGAUGAAGUCUCACGACUGUCACAUGCUGAUGACGCAGAUACUUCCAGUUGCAAUCCGUGGGAUCAUGGACGCGCACGUCCGUGAAACGCUAUUUGGCCUAUGCAACUUUUUCGACGUCAUCUCUCGGAAGUCGAUUGGCGUGAGGCAACUCAGAAGGCUACAGGAAGAGAUCGUGGUGAUACUAUGCGAGCUUGAGAUGUACUUCCCGCCUGCAUUCUUCGACGUUAUGGUGCAUCUGCUGGUCCAUAUAGUGGAGGAUAUCAUCCAACUCGGGCCGACGUUCCUGCACAGCAUGAUGCCGUUCGAAAGGAUGAAUGGUGUCAUCAAAGGAUACGUUCGCAACAUGUCACGUCUAGAGGGAAGCAUAGCCAGGGGCUUUCUGACCGAAGAGUGCAUCUCCUACUGCACGAAUUAUCUAGGCAUCGAGAACCCCGUUGGUCUGCCCGUCAACAGGCACCUCGGCAGGCUCGCUGGAUGGGGUCACCAUGAGGGUCGCCGCGAAAUGCAUGUCGACUUCGAGGGUCGACUCGCCGACUUUGAAAGAGCAAACCUAGUCGCGCUACAACACAUAGACGUGGUCGAUCCUUGGGUGGUAGAGCACAAAACCUUUAUUAAGAAGACGUACAAUGACCGAGGCCAACAGAGGACGGACGGAGAUAUACUCAAAGAGCACAACUCAUGUUUCACGCGUUAGUUCAAGCAGAAGCUUCUGUCGUACCCUUUACAUGAGGAUUCUUCCGCGGAAGAACAACUCAUAUUCGCCUUGUCACAGGGCGCCGAGCACAACCUGAUGACCUAUGAGGCGUACGAUAUCAACGGCUACACAUUCUACACCGAGGACAAGGACAUGAAGAGCGAUGGUUAUCAGAACUCCGGGGUAACGAUGGAAUCCUACACCGGUAACGACAAGGACAGAUACUACGGAAGGAUUGAGGAGAUCUGGGAGCUGAGCUACGCUGGAGAGAAGGUCCCGAUGUUCCGUGUCAGAUGGGCCAAAAACGUCAUAAAAGAAGACCGGUAUUUCACCACCAUGGUUAUACCCGAAGCCAAAUCCAAGACCGCGGGCGCAAACGUCACCACGAAAAAUGAGCCAUGGGUACUGGCUUCCCAAGUGGACCAAUGCUUCUUCAUUACCGACCCGCCAAAGCCCAGUCGUGUUGUCGUGAGGAGAGGCAAAAGGAAGAUCAUCGGAAUGGAUGGAGUAGCCAAUGAGCAAGACUUCGACAAGUACGGCGACCCGAAGAUCGAACAUGACGACGACGAUGAAGUAGCAGCACACACCACAAGAAGAAGCAGGACCACCCUACCUAAAGGACGUCCGUUCCACAGAAGAACUCCGUUUGCGAAAAAGAAGGGCAAGAAGAUUGUGAACAGAUAGCUAGCUAAGACCGAUUGUAUUUAAAUCGUAGUCUUCAUUUCUCGAUUGUAUUUCAUGGGCACUUUUUGAUAUCAUGAAUAUUUUUAAAUUUCAUGGGCACUUUUUGAAUUCAUGAGGACACUUGAUCUCGAUUCCCCCUCCAUCUCGAUCUCGAUCCCCCUCCAUCUCGAUCGCACCCGCACCCUCCCCCGCUAGCUCCACCCAUCGCAACCCUCCCCCGCUCCACCGCCGGAGCACCCGGCCCCCCGCACCCGCACUUUUUGAACAUAUUUUUUAAUUUUUUUUACUAUUUUUAUAAAAAAUAUUACUGUUAUAAUUUAAACAAGUUUGAACAUAUUUAAACACAAAUAAAUAUAAAAAACAGCAUUUAAAAUGCAUAAAAAAUAUUACUGUUAUGAUUUAAACAAGUUUGAACAUAUUUAAACACAAAUAAAUAUAAAAAACAC
rnacentral:lncRNA from 1 species